CGGCGGCUGGGAGACAGCGCCGGGGUAUCGAUGGAAAAUAAUAAAUGACCAACUGAGGCUGUUGUGAUUUGCUAGAUUAGGACACCUAAUCAUAAUGAUGAUCAUAAACUUUUAUUUCCAGGGGUAAGGCGAAUAAAUCAGACAAUAUCAAAAUCCUACGAAAAUAAAAUGGAAUUAAAUAUACUGUGUCAGUGGACCUCGUUCUUUAUGAUAUGAUUUCAUCAUUAUUUUAUUAUAAACUAAACUUAACCCCUUUCGGCCGCUCAGUCGACUGGCCUCUCUUCACUUGCAACGUAAACAAAUACAAAAGGUGCAAAGCAAGAACUUGAAGAUGGAGAAAUGACGGCUGCACAAAUUCGCGGAGAGACAGGAAAUAAUGAUCAAAUGUGUGUGUUUGUGUGAUCUGUGUGUGUCUUCUGAGUAAAAACGCACAUAUGAUUUCGAUUCGAUUUGUUUUGGUCUGUUUGUUUAAGUGCCUCACACUAUAAGAGAACACUUUAUGUGUUUAUAGCGCCAAUGAUCAGUCACUCACAGGGUUACGGCGAAAAUCACAUCUCGGCUGUGCCUUUGCAAGUUACACAAGUAAUCAUCUGCGUUACGUUUCACAUGGACCAAUUAAAAUCGAGAUAUCGCUGGACAUUUGCGCGGUGACGUCACUACGCCAGCCACGUUGUAAGGCUAAUCCCCGCGAAAUUCAAAGUCAAUAUGACGGCGGUGUUCAACGAUAUCACCGAUCUGAGACGAGUUUACACCGCUGCGAUCGACGUCUUCACGAGGAAACAGCGGCGGGUGGAUUUUACGUACAAAUAAUCGACUGAUCGAUUCUGUACAACCCGUCAUCCAACUGUUCGUCUAACUAACGUACGGCUCCCAGCCUCGGACACUCCUGCACAAGUCGACAAAAUAGUCUUUCCCAGGUGGGAGAUGACCGUGCAGCUUGAGAAUUCAUCGUGCCAGCCUUGAAAUUAAAUACCUGCAAUUAAAUACUGUGACUUUGUCAGUGGACCUUGUUUUUUAUGAUAUGAUUUCAUAAUUAUUCUAUUGAAUAUAUUUCCAUUAUUUGAAAUCGUUUCAUGGCAAUCUGCCUUUGUAAAAAGUCUGCUGUCGUAUUUUACUACUGCUUUAGUAAUGAUACAUCACUCACUCGGAGUAAAAACCCUUGGCUCCAUGGGUGACUGCAACCUAAACUUAACCCCUUUAGGCCGCUCAGCCGACUGGCUUCUCUUCACUUGCGUCCGGAUACAGGACCAUCGUUAUUGCAUAGAAAGAAAAUGACCAAAUAAAGCAGUAUCCCAGAUCUGUUUGCUAUCUGAACGUAUUUGGUUGGUUUACUGUGACUGAUUAACCUAAAUGAUAUUAGAUUGUAAAUAAACAGAUCCAUCAAAGUGUAUGCUAAUUCUAGCAGGCUAUACACUUUUCCAGCAUAUUGUUUGUCUGGCUUCUAAAUGUGUGCAUGCGUACAAAAAUGAUACGUUACUGCCUUUCUGUUUAGAAAGGUUUACUUUGUUAAGUGACUUGUAUUGCUUUCUGAGGCAAAACUGGCUUAUUGUAACAUAAUAUACAGUCAAUAAAAGACUGGCUCAGUGCUCCUUCCCCCACAGCCAGGGGCCUCCAGAAUCACGCAAACUCCCUGCAGGCCGGUGACACAAAGUGACUAGCAAAAUAACGCAGGAAACCUUGGUGGGUUUUUUCUGCAAGCUCAAAAUUAUCUUUAUCCAAUGAAACAACAUUAACAGAUCAAGGCUGAAUAAUAAACAUUUGACAUUGUUAUUACUUCUGAUUCCAAUUCUCCAAUAUAAAACAUGUGUUUUAUUACUCACGUAAUAACCUUACAAUAAUCAAUAAAAUGACUGUUCUCCAUCCUCUUGUCAUAUUCGAUGUAAAAGCGAAUUGUAAAAUCAGG